rnacentral:rRNA from 1 species
AGAGUUUGAUCAUGGCUCAGAUUGAACGCUGGCGGCAUGCCUUACACAUGCAAGUCGAACGGCAGCACGGGAGCAAUCCUGGUGGCGAGUGGCGAACGGGUGAGUAAUAUAUCGGAACGUGCCCAGUCGUGGGGGAUAACGCAGCGAAAGCUGUGCUAAUACCGCAUACGAUCUACGGAUGAAAGCGGGGGAUCGCAAGACCUCGCGCGAUUGGAGCGGCCGAUAUCAGAUUAGCUAGUUGGUGGGGUAAAGGCCCACCAAGGCGACGAUCUGUAGCUGGUCUGAGAGGACGACCAGCCACACUGGGACUGAGACACGGCCCAGACUCCUACGGGAGGCAGCAGUGGGGAAUUUUGGACAAUGGGCGAAAGCCUGAUCCAGCCAUGCCGCGUGCAGGAAGAAGCAUCUAUGGUGUGUAAACUGCUUUUGUACGGGAAGAAACACUCCUUCGUGAAGGAGCUUGACGGUACCGUAAGAAUAAGGAUCGGCUAACUCCGUGCCAGCAGCCGCGGUAAUACGGAGGGUGCGAGCGUUGUCCGGAUUUAUUGGGUUUAAAGGGUGCGUAGGUGGCUAAUUAAGUCAGUGGUGAAAUACAGCCGCUCAACGGUUGAGGUGCCAUUGAUACUGAUUAGCUUGAAACAAGUGGAGGCUGCCGGAAUGGAUGGUGUAGCGGUGAAAUGCAUAGAUAUCAUCCAGAACACCGAUUGCGAAGGCAGGUGGCUACGUUUGAUUUGACACUGAGGCACGAAAGCAUGGGGAGCAAACAGGAUUAGAUACCCUGGUAGUCCAUGCCGUAAACGAUGAGGACUCGCUGUUGGGCUGUCAAGGUUCAGCGGCUUAGGGAAACCGUUAAGUCCUCCACCUGGGGAGUACGCCGGCAACGGUGAAACUCAAAGGAAUUGACGGGGACCCGCACAAGCGGUGGAUGAUGUGGUUUAAUUCGAUGCAACGCGAAAAACCUUACCCACCUUUGACAUGUAUGGAAUCCUUUAGAGAUAGAGGAGUGCUCGAAAGAGAGCCAUAACAC